rnacentral:misc_RNA from 1 species
GCCAACCCCAGAAGGACCAGUCAGGGAAGACUAUGUCAAGGGUGGAAUUGUCGCCACAGUAGCGGAAAAGAGGAGGCGGGGCGACCGUAGCAUUGUAGUCAGAGGCCUUGACAACUGGCCAGUCAACACAGUCAAACAUGAUGUCAAGGUCAGGGAGGCGACCGGGGUAGCGGCGGAGCAGCUGGAUAAUUCCCCAUAUGGUGAAG